rnacentral:lncRNA from 12 species
GUUAAUUUGGGCCUGGGGUCUCGGGAUUAUCGGGGGGGCUCUGGGCUUAAUUUGUGUCUGGGAUCUUAGGGCACUCGUGGAGGGUUCUGGGGUUAAUUUGGUUCUGAGGUCUCAAGGCACUAAGAGGGCUGUGGGGUUAAUUUGGGUCUGGGGUCUCAGGGCACUUGGAGAGGGCUCUGGGGUUAAUUUGGGUCUGGGGUCUCAGGGCACUUGGAGGGCUCUGGGGUUAAUUUGGGUCUAGGGUCUCAGGAUACUCGGGCAUGGCUCUGGGAUUAAGUUGGGUCUGG